AUUCGAGUCAAAAUCAACAUGUGAUGGAAGCCCAGCAGAAUCAAGGUCUAAGGGGUGUGUUUACUCAGACGAGUGGAUCCAUGAGUAAUUGGGAGUACUUGAACAAUUUUGAGCUUGGGCCUAAGCGACUGCAGGAAAAUUUAUUCAGCAAAUUGUUCGUGUAAUGCUCAUGCUUCUGUUAGACCUGAUGGAACAAGAUGUAGAUUUUCCCAUGGCCAAAAGCCUGAUAGUCAAGAUAGCCAAGAAAGUCUUUUACAUUCAACACCGAUUUAGGAAGAGGAUUAAGAAGCUAUCUCAUUGCAGCGAAAACAGGAAAACAUAAACUGGUCUGCAUCUUCUAUGUUGGUUACAUACUCCAUGUCCUGAAACAUGUUCUCAAUUGAACGUUCAAGUAGUACGAUGAGACUGUAAAUUACAAAGAAAUAGCAGGAUCGGGAGGAGAAAAUAAGGACAAGUAAGCACAUUGGCUUGUCAAAUCGUGUAAAAUUAUUGGAGUGGAGUUUACAUGCAUUAAAAGCGUUGUCUGCAUCUCUCGCCAAGUCCCUCUGCUUUCUUUUACAUUUGCAAUCUUUGUUUCAUGGCUAACAUGAGAGAGACUGGUUUGGAGGUUCCUGUCAAGCUUUAUAUAUUAUGCAGCCUUUUUCUCUGCCUAUCUCAUGCUUCAGACACCCUUAAACCAGGAGAGAACUUGUACAACAAUGAAACAUUAGUCUCUGCAGGUGGGGUGUUUGAACUAGGCUUCUUUGCUUCUAGAGAGAUGCGCAAUCAAUACUUAGGAAUUUGGUUCAAAAAAGACAAAACAAAAAAGGCUGUUUGGGUUGCGAAUCAAGACAUUCCCCUGAUAGCUUCUUCUGGAGUUCUUACAAUUAGACAGGAUGGAAACUUGGUGAUAUCAGAUGCUAGGCUGCAACCCAUUAUAGUGAACUGUGGUUCGUUGGCAACGAGUAAUAAUACUAGUGCAACACUGCUUGAUUCUGGAAACCUAAUCCUGAUGCAGGGAAAAGUGGUCGUCUGGCAGAGUUUCCACUAUCCAACUGAUACAUUUUUGCCUGAAUGAAAUUAGGGUGGUUUGACAUGGAUACAGAUCAACCGAGAGAAAAGGUUUCUCCUAUCAUGGUUAAGCUCAUCUGUGCCAACUACUGGUCCAUUGGCUCUUGGCUUAAAUCCUGAAAAUAAGUCACAGUUCAAUUUGUGGAACAGAAGUGAGUACUGAGAGAUUGGAUUCUGGGAUGGCCACAGAUUCAGAUUCAUGUUUGAAAGUAAUUCAGAUAAAUACAAUUUCAGCUUUGUAUCAAAUGAAAAGAACCUUUACCUUACUUUCGAUAACAAAGGAAACACUAGGUCUUCAUGGUUUGUGUUGACUUCAAAUGGGGAAAUCAUGAGUACAUGAUGAUAGAAGAAGGGAUAGCAAUCGUGAACCACUCAUUAUGUGAUGGUAUAUCAGUAUUUAAUCCUAUGGGUUGCUUCAUUAAGUUGCCAUUAGACUGCAAGGAUGGACAUACUUUUGCAGCAAUUAAAGGUUCAAUGCCUAUAUCAAUGAUCAUGAGCAGGUCAUCUAACGAUUUGAGUCUUAGGGAUUGUGAGAUAAUGUGCAGCGGUAAUUGUUUCAUGCACAGCAUUUGCUCUUCAGAAGAUGAUGGAGCUGGAUGUGAACUGUAUUAUGGAGAGAGAACAGAUCUUCUAAACAUCAUAGGGAAAGGAUUAACUCUAUCCAUGUUCGCUGGGAUACUGCUUCAGAUUCUGGCAAGUAGUAAAUGUCUCUAACUGAGUUGAUUAUUUUUGCUUCCACAACCCAUAUCAGAAGAAAACAUUCUCAAUUGAAGAACCGUGGCAUAUCAUGGACCUCUCAAUAAAUGCCAAAACAUAUAGCAAUUAAAAUUCAAAUUGAGAAUGUUUUCUUCUGUCCCCAGGUAACCCAAGAAUGAGGAGGCUUUGGUGGGUAAUCGUAGUUCCACUAAUCUGUUUGAUGAUAUUAAUAAGUUGGGUUGCCUUAUAUUGCUUUGGACGAACAAAAUGCAGAAGGGUCAAAGAUAUUCUUUCCAAGCUCAUUGGCCAAUGUGCUUCCUAUACUUGAGCAAUAGAAUGCUCGAGUUGAAUUAAUAAUUUAUUUUCCAGGAGCUAAUGGGAAUUAUGGCACCAUUAAAGACACAACAGGAUUGUUAACAUUAGCAUUUUGGUCAAGUUCUCAUGCACCAAGUACUGAUGAUGCUCGGUCGUGUCAGGAAUUUCUGUUACUCAGCUUUUCUUGUAUAGCAAGAGCCACAAAUAAUUUUUCUGCUGCAAAUAAGAUUGGAGAGGAAGGCUUUGGACCUGUUUACAUGAUACACUGCAAACUAUAAAUCGAAGGAAACUUAACAGGGCAGGAAAUUGCAGUGAAAAGACUUUCCACAAGCUCAGUACAAGGGAUAAAGGAGUUCAAAACUGAAGUGCAAUUAAUUUCUAAGCUUCAGCACAUAAAUCUUGUCAAGCUUUUAGGUUUCUGCAUUGAACAAGAAGAGAAGAUAUUAAUCUACGAAUACAUGCCCAACAAAAGCUUGGAUUCCUUCAUUUUUUGUUCGUAAAAGGAUAUGUCAAUUACAUGUCUGUUUCAUUGACUAAUUCAUUGAUUCAUUUCAUUUGAUUGAAGUUACAAUCUUUACAUGCAGCAGAUCCUGUCAAGCGAAGACUUAUAGAUUGGAGACAGUGCAAACACAUCAUUGAAGGGAUAGCACAAGGACUUCUUUAUCUUCACAAGUAUUCAAGAUUAAGAACAGUACAUAGGGACCUGAAAUCUAGCAACAUACUGUUGGAUAGUCAUAUGAAUCCCAAAAUUUCAGAUUUUGGCAUGGCAAGAAUUUUCUUCGGUAAUGAAUCAAGGACAAAAACAAAAAGGGUUGUUGGAACAUAGUAACUGUCAAACGCACAUCAUAACAUAUACAUGCCUGCAUACACGUAGAAUUGGUUUGCCAAGCUGACAAUUAUUUUGUUUUCUUGAAAUGUCUGAACAGUGGUUAUAUGUCCCCUGAAUAUGGGGUGCAUGGCCUUUUCUCUACAAAAUCUGAUGUAUACACUGAUAGAGAUCGUCAGUGGCAGAAGGAACAUUCCCUUCUAUGCGACUGACAACUCCUCGACUCUGCUAGGACAUGCAUGGGAACUCUGGAAAGCUGAAGAUGCAUAGAACUGAUGGAUCCAGUAUUGGCCGAUUCAUUUGCGAUGGAUGAGCUUGUGCAAUGUAUUCAGGUUGGUCUCUUAUGCACAAGAUAAUACUGAAGACAGACCAACAAUGAUAGAUAUUGUUGCGAUCCUCAGCGAUGAAAGUACAGUAUUGCCUACUCCUAAACAACCCAUUUUUUCUACUCAUUUAAAUCCAGUAAGUAGUGAUUAUCCCUCGAGAAAGGAUACACCUUCUAUCAAUUUUUUAACAUUUUCAGAUGUCGAAGCUCGAUAACAGCUAGGAGCUUUUGUUACCCCAGUCUGUUUCAGGAAAAGAAGAGAAGACCUGUCAAAAGUAUAAUAGUUUUUCAAGUGUAUGUAUUCAUUAUGUAAUAGUAAUUGCUUGAAUCAUUUUCCCAA